AAAAUUUACUCCUUUUGAAAUAUAGAUAAAAUUAUUUAAUUUUGUAUUUUUGUGCUCAUAAAAAUAUAGGAAAAAUAAUAUUUUCAUUAAAUUAAAAUUUAUCAUAAGGCAUAGCAAUAUUAUUAUGCAUACAUGCUGGUGCAUAUGUUUUGAUGUGAUGCUUGUUGCUCCUUUAUGUGUUGAUAGUAAGAAAAAUAUUUAAAAUACGUUUAGUACAUCGAUCUUCCUUAUUCGGCACGUAUUUAUCUUUUAUCUACAACCAAAUUCCUUGUUUCUAAGCUCAAAUUUUUAUUAGAACCUUCCUAAAAUAUUUUCUUUAUCACUCAAAGCACUUCUUUUAGUUCCUCGUCCAUCAAGCAAUCUCUACAAACUUUUCGGAAAUUUUUCCAUCUUCUGUUCUCACUUUUCUCUGAGCAUGAUCUAAUUUUUAGAUGCUCUAAACAAUCUUAUCAUGAGCUCUAAAAACUUUAUUCGGGUUCCCCAUGUUCUAUAAUAUCUCUGAGAAUUUUUCCCGAAUUUUCGGAGCUUUCGGAGUAUUUUUCGUGGCUUAACUACUAAUUCUAAACUUUUCUAGAAUUAUUUUAUCAAUGAAAAUAAUUAAUUCCGAAAAUAAUAAAUCUCUUAUUAGUUUUUCCAACGUCAAAGCCCAUAAUAAAUCCCAAAAACCAUAUAGUUAUUUACUAAUGGGCUUUAAUAAUUAAUUAGGCCUAUUAGUAAAGAUGAAGGUUGCAAAUCAAUUAGUACCAUAUCGCUAGUUGACGUGGAGCUGUGGAGUUUCUCUCCCUAUAUAUUUGUACCAACUCUUAGGUUGAGCACACCAAAUACUACCAUAUGGGAAGCCUCUAGUUUGGGGAUUCCUAAGGUAGUAAAAUUAUAUUUUAUCCUUUCUCUACACGUUGCCCCUUCGUCAUCAGAAGUCGAGCACCAUGCCCUGGUAGCACACGACACCGUUCGUCUUCCAAUGUCGUGGCUUGCCAUGCUAGUUCCUUCCGCGAGACAUGGCUGAAGUCGUUGUUGGCACUUGAGUUGUCCAUGGACGGUACAUAUCUACUCAUCUCCUUUAAACCUCUGUUUUUCUUGCUAACUCCCAAUAUUUAUAGUUAAUCCCGCUUAAAUCAUUUGGCGUUGAUCUUUGUAGCUCCGUUUUGCUCUGUUCGUUAGUUUCAUACGUAGCAGCAAUGUUAAUUCGUCACAUGUUUUAUAAUUUAAUUAGUAAUUGUUAUGGGUACGAUUAGCUUUCUAUUUUUUUUAAAAAAAUAAUAACAUAUGAGUUACACUUCAAUAAGUUAUACGCAAGUGUGAAAACAAUUUGAUUGCUAUCACUAAUGUGUUCUGAAAUUAAAAUUUGAUUAAAUUAACUCACGUCAUAUGCAAUUGAAAUGGAUGCUUUCAUAUAUUUAUUUUCUUUAACAACUUAAGUUUAACUAAUCUGAAAACUACUUAAAUAUUUUUAAAUAAAAUAUGAUUAGUUUUACCUUGGCUUUCUAAACAUAAUUUGACUUAACUCAAUUUAGGUAUUUUUCCCUGUAGUAUCUUAUACAUAUUAUAUAUAUAUAAAUAAAAUAAAUAAAACUCGUAGUUUUCUUUUUCUCGUAAAAUAAAUUUUAUGGUAGUCGUUUAGUUCUAUUACGCUCUCAUUAGCGUGCUUUUUACGUCUGUGUGCUGGUGGCGAUACGUAGAUUAGUUUCAAAUCUUUUUAUUGUUUGGUGUUUGUUCUAAUUUAGUUCUAUUAUUUGCUUUGUGUAUGUUUGGCUCCGAUUGCUUGUGUGUUUCUAUUCGAUGAUCGAGUUUAGUCGGUGAGCAACUCGUGGUGAUCAAGAGCGUUUCGGUGAUCAAGAUCAAAGCUUUGGCAACAAGUGAGACCAGCAGGACCAAAAGGAUAAGCAAGAGCAAUUGGAUUGAGGCAAGUAUAGCAUUUGGAUUUUAUUUCUGUGACCAUGAUCGUGUGACUAGAUUAAUGUUAAGUAAUAAAUGAUAAAAAUGACUUUUUAGCCACUUGAUGAUUUGUCUGUACGUGAUCACCCGGGACAACAGUGCAACCAUGAGGGCUAUAAUGGCUCUGGCUUUAGCUCAGUAUGAAGACCUUUUCUAGCUUGUUAGAGGUUACCCGAGAGGGCGGAGGGGCUGAACCGACACGGGUAUAGUGCGAGCCCCUGUCCCUAUGUGUAUAGGCUGCGCGUCAUUGUGCCAUUCGGAAGGGGGGUAUCUAUAUCUGCUCGCAAAGGAAACCUUGCGGCCCUAACAUGUUAGACGAACUUUUGAAAGGCUUCAUAGUGAUCCCUGCCGACCUUCCUUGGAAGUGGGUUAAGAGGCUGAUCACCUCGGGCGAAAGGGUAAAUCAUGACUCAUGGGUAAAGAUGUGCAACCUCUGCAGAGUGUUAAAACUAGUAUACUAGCCGAGCUCACGGUCAGGAGCGGCCUUGGGGACAUCUACAUUAAGGAUGAUGAUUCUUGUGUGUUAAAUAUGCUCAGUGUUUAUUGUUUAAUGCUUUACAUUAUUUAUGUCACACUGAUCAUGAGAUUGUGGGAGCUAUACAAUCUAGUUGCUAUACUUGUUGAGUUCGACAUGGACUCACUCUUGCUAUUUCCCCAAACCUCAGGAGAAGUUUAGGCUUGUGAUCAACGAGUCAGUUGGAUCCUGUAGAGAGAAGUUAAUACCCGAAGUUUGGAGUUGUCUAUCCGCUGUUUGCUAUCACAGGUUAUAUCUUUUAUACUAAGUACGUUAUAUAUUUAUGCAUUAUCUUUUGAUAUUACCCCUUAUUUGUAGCUAUAUGUGGGAUUUGACUUCUAAAACUCACAUAUGGUGCGUAUCUGAUUUGUCCUUAAAAUCGGGUAUUACAAAGUGGUAUCAGAGCAAUGCUGGCUGUAGGACGCAAGCCUAGUUAGAAAUUGGUCGUCUUAAGGUUUUGGAAUUGUCAUAAAAUCCUUGCUCUAUAAACCUUGGUACUUUCAUCCAUACUAUAUCCCUAUCCUUGCUAUUUGUCUCUACCUUGUUGCUUAUUUUAAAAGUACUUGUUUUCACCUUCACUCCUUGAUUUGGUAUGCUUUUAGAACCUUUUCUUAUCACCUUCUUGCGUCUUUGAAAUAUAAGUUUUACGAUCUCUACCCUUACUAUGAAGAGAACGAUAGUAUCGCAAGUUGAGUGAAGUGUGAACCUUCGAUGCUUAGUUGGUUUGUUAUUAUGUUUAUGCUUGAUUUGGAUCUUUGUAAUGAGUGCAGUGAUUUUGUGGGAUUUCUCCACAAUAUCAUUUAGUUUAUAGGCCUAAGGCAUAAGGAUUAAUGAAAUAAGUAGUUGGGUAUGGCUAUCUUCUGUUUCUGUCCUUUGCUGUUUUCUGGAGCAGUCUGCAAUGAUUCUGGUGUAUCUUCAAGAUCUGAUCGUGAAAAGUUUAUCCAAUUUUUCUGGGAACAACUAGACUUCAAUAUAUUUCUCUGACCACAAGAAUCACCCUCAUAGCUGUUAUGGUUUGGAAGUUACAAAAAUCACAAAAUGAUACAUAUGUUCUGUCAGGAAUCUGGACCAGUUUUGGUUGCCUAAUAUUUGAGACCAAUAUAACUAUAGAAUUUGGAAAAGUGUUCUAUAGAAAAGAUGUACACAAUUUGAUAAUCUUUCCAACGGUAUAAGAUGGAACUUAUUUGGAUAAGUAGAACCUGAGAUAUGAUAUUUACAAUUGGAUGUUUCUGUUCUGUAUCAAAGUCUGGGCAGUUUUGGUAUUCCCCAUUUUCGGCCAACUUGAAAUCAGAAGAUGGGAAAGAGUUGUAUACGAAAGUUGUAGAGGAUUUCAUAAGCUUUUAAACAAUAUAAGGAUCAUCUGCAGAUGAUUUAAGGAGCUCUAGAUAUAAUUUCUGGAAGUUAUUACACCUUGGCUGAGACAUUAUCAGGAAGGAUAUUAUAAUUGGCUAUUUUACCUAAACUUAAAGACAGAACCUAAGAAGGUCUUCUACGUGAAAGUGGUAGAGAAUUUCAUAAGUUUUCUAAUGAUAUAAGCUAUAACUCUAUUGGAAUAACAGAAUAUGAGUUAUACCUAUUUUUCUAUGCUGGUGUUUUUCAUAUCGCGGGAAAAUUUCAGGAUACAUGUUUAUUCUCUUGCACAUAAGCUCUUUGGGAUGUCAUGAGUUCUCAAUGUUAGCUAACUUGUCUAGAAAACAUGGAAGAUACCUUUCUUGUGCCCUAGUUGACUUUUCAUAAGGGGGGUAGCCUAAUUAAAGGAGUUACAAUGAGAAGGAUUGGCUAAUGUUGGAUCAUAUAUGAGGAUCACAAGUGUUCGGUGAAUUUGGUUUUGUUUCAAGAUAUCAUCUCUUUUAGAGAAUAUCAAUGGAGGUAUAUGUCAUUGCUGAUACUCAUAGAUUGAGAGUUAUGCUUAUGAGGAUCAGAUGACACCAAAGUCUACAAAGUUAUACAUACAAUGUGAGAGUGAAACAACUUGAUUGUGAUAAAGGUACCAAUAGAUGGAACAUAGUGAUGAAACCAACCUUGGCUCAAGAGACUCGGUACAACGAAUUUAAAAGACUAUAUGAUGUGUAGCGUCUAAAAAGGAUAGGAGAAAUAAGUUUAAAGAAGGAUCGUACCUACUACACUACACUAGGUGUCUCGUCAAUAUUUUAGGAAUACUUGAGGCUACUUGGAGUAAGAGAGUGGAAUCAUUGCAAUGAAGAUAUAACUACUCAAGAAAGUGAACAAGAUUCAAAAUAUACAUCUCUUUGAUAACCGUCUUCCGAAUCUCGAGGACGAGAUUCAUCUUAAGGGGGGUAGAAUUGUAACACCCUAAAAUUUACUCCUUUUGAAAUAUAGAUAAAAUUAUUUAAUUUUGUAUUUUUGUGCUCAUAAAAAUAUAGGAAAAAUAAUAUUUUCAUUAAAUUAAAAUUUAUCAUAAGGCAUAGCAAUAUUAUUAUGCAUACAUGCUGGUGCAUAUGUUUUGAUGUGAUGCUUGUUGCUCCUUUAUGUGUUGAUAGUAAGAAAAAUAUUUAAAAUACGUUUAGUACAUCGAUCUUCCUUAUUCGGCACGUAUUUAUCUUUUAUCUACAACCAAAUUCCUUGUUUCUAAGCUCAAAUUUUUAUUAGAACCUUCCUAAAAUAUUUUCUUUAUCACUCAAAGCACUUCUUUUAGUUCCUCGUCCAUCAAGCAAUCUCUACAAACUUUUCGGAAAUUUUUCCAUCUUCUGUUCUCACUUUUCUCUGAGCAUGAUCUAAUUUUUAGAUGCUCUAAACAAUCUUAUCAUGAGCUCUAAAAACUUUAUUCGGGUUCCCCAUGUUCUAUAAUAUCUCUGAGAAUUUUUCCCGAAUUUUCGGAGCUU
rnacentral:lncRNA from 1 species